GCCUGGGUGGCUCAGUGGUUGAGCAUCUGCCUUCAGCUCAGGACAUGGUCCUGGGGUCCUGGGAUCCAGAUCCUGGGAUCGAGUCCCACGUCAGGCU
rnacentral:tRNA from 1 species